AUUGAACGCUGGCGGCAGGCCUAACACAUGCAAGUCGAACGAGUGGCGGACGGGUGAGUAAUGUCUGGGAAACUGCCCGAUGGAGGGGGAUAACUACUGGAAACGGUAGCUAAUACCGCAUACCAUCGUCUGUGCCCAUAUGGGAUUAGCUUGUAGGUGAGGUAACGGCUCACCUAGGCGACGAUGCCUAGCUGGUCUGAGAGGAUGACCAGAGAGGCGGGACUUGAGACACGGUCCGUACUACUGCGGGAGGCAGCAGUGGGGAAUAUUGCUAAGGUGGCGCGAGCGUGAUGCAGCCGUGCCGCGUGUAUGAGGAAGGCGUUCGGAUUGUAGAGUAGGUGCAGCGGGGAGGCGUUACCAGCAGAAGAGGCACGGACUAACUCCGGGCCAGCAGCCGCGGUAAUUC
rnacentral:rRNA from 1 species